UACGAAGGGGGCGAGCGUUGUUCGGAUUUACUGGGCGUAAAGGGCGCGCAGGCGGCGCAUUUUGUCAGGCGUGAAAGCCCCGGGCUUAACCUGGGAACUGCGUUUGAUACGGAUGGGCUAGAGUUCGGGAGAGGAGAGUGGAAUUCCCAGUGUAGAGGUGAAAUUCGUAGAUAUUGGGAAGAACACCGGUGGCGAAGGCGGCUCUCUGGACCGAGACUGACGCUGAGGCGCGAAAGCGUGGGUAGCAAACAGG
rnacentral:rRNA from 1 species